rnacentral:lncRNA from 1 species
AAACCGGGUUUUUUUCUAUUACCUUUGCGCGACGAAAGUAAUUUAGGUUGCGCAUAGAUUGUUUGCACGACGACUAUUUUUGUCGCGCUAGUUUUCUGUUGUUUGCGCGACGGAAAUUUGUUUUCGUCGCAAUAGUGUUGUUUGCGCGACGAAAACAUCUUCGUCGCGCAAAUAGUAAAUCGUACUAGUGUAAGCGUAUAAGGAAAAAAUGUACAGAAAAAAUUUAAAGAAAUCCACACACGCAUAAGAAAAUACAGGAGGAAGAUAACUCCAAAAACCUAACCAUUCGCAAAGCCAAAAAAGGAAAAAACAGAAAAGACUUGGCCUGCCCAUUGUUUUCUUGGACGGAAUUGGUAGCCCAUUGUUUCUCGAAAACCGUUCUAAAACCCUCUUUCCUACAUAUAAAUUUAAACCUUUGAGUUUGUUUCAGAAUAAACAAAAACUCUUCCCCCCUUGCUUGCGAGUAACUUGGUAAUUAGGAUGUGUAGGGUAGCUUCAGAAACCCUAGUGUUUGUA